AACGAACGCUGGCGGCAGGCCUAACACAUGCAAGUCGAACGCUCCGCAAGGGGAGUGGCGCCCGGGUGAGUAACGCGUGGGAAUCUACCUACUAGUAAGGAAUAACAGUUGGAAACGACUGCUAAUACCUUAUACGUCCUACGGGGGAAAGAUUUAUCGCAAAUAGAUGAGCCCGCGUAAGAUUAGCUAGUUGGUGAGGUAAUGGCUCACCAAGGCUACGAUCUUUAGCUGGUCUGAGAGGAUGAUCAGCCACACUGAAACUGAGACACGGUCCAGACUCGUACGGGAGGCAGCAGUGGGAAGUAUUGGACAAUGGGCGAAAGCCUGAUCCAGCCAUGCCGCGUGAAUGAUGAAGGCCUUAGGGUUGUAAAGUUCUUUCGCCGCCGAGGAUAAUGACGGUAAGCGGAUAAGAAGCCCCGGCUAACUUCGUGCCAGCCGCCGCGGUAA
rnacentral:rRNA from 1 species